GUGAGGAAUAUUGGUCAAUGGGCGAGAGCCUGAACCAGCCAAGUAGCGUGCAGGAUGACGGCCCUAUGGGUUGUAAACUGCUUUUGUAUGGGGAUAAAGUCAAUCACGUGUGAUUGUUUGCAGGUACCAUACGAAUAAGGACCGGCUAAUUCCGUGCCAGCAGCCGCGGUAAUACGGAAGGUCCGGGCGUUAUCCGGAUUUAUUGGGUUUAAAGGGAGCGUAGGCUGGAGAUUAAGUGUGUUGUGAAAUGUAGACGCUCAACGUCUGACUUGCAGCGCAUACUGGUUUCCUUGAGUACGCACAACGUUGGCGGAAUUCGUCGUGUAGCGGUGAAAUGCUUAGAUAUGACGAAGAACUCCGAUUGCGAAGGCAGCUGACGGGAGCGCAACUGACGCUGAAGCUCGAAGGUGCGGGUAUCGAACAGGAUUAGAAACCCUUGUAGUCC
rnacentral:rRNA from 1 species